UACGUAGGGUGCGAGCGUUGUCCGGAAUUACUGGGCGUAAAGAGCUCGUAGGUGGUUUGUCGCGUUGUCCGUGAAAACUCACAACUCAAUUGUGGGCGUGCGGGCGAUACGGGCAGACUGGAGUACUGCAGGGGAGACUGGAAUUCCUGGUGUAGCGGUGGAAUGCGCAGAUAUCAGGAGGAACACCGGUGGCGAAGGCGGGUCUCUGGGCAGUAACUGACGCUGAGGAGCGAAAAGCGUGGGGAGCGAACAGG
rnacentral:rRNA from 1 species